rnacentral:lncRNA from 10 species
UGUCAGUAAAGGGAAAGAGGGGUGGGGUCUUGAUUAGGUAGAGCGCGCUUCUGGGCUCCGGUGUCACGUGCAGGAGGCGGGAGAGUCACCUGAUUAGGGAGAACCGGUCUUCUGAGCCACUUCCGCCCUCACUGGUUGCCGUGGUAACAGGCCUCCGGUGGAGGGCGGGGACCCUCGGAAGCCAGCUGGGUGGCGAUCGCUUGUCUGCCUUGGCAGGCCCCUUGUGCAGUCUUUUCCCGGCGUGAGCGUGCAGGGAUUGAAAAGGAAUGCUUUAUGGUUCAGCAGAGAGCCACCACGCAGGAUGCACUGGGACCUGAGAACCGUCGGGCAGUCCCACGAGCUCUUUCAUGACCAGCUCCAACCGACAAGUACACGCCCCUUCGCACUCCACUAGCUAGUAAGCUGAGCUACAAGGUGUGCCAGGCACCCAGGACGCCGAUUCACCGCUUCAGUGAAGGCCCAGCUCAAAUGCCACCUCUUCCAUGAAGACUUCCGUGAUCCACAAUGAUAGCAUCUCCAGCAAUUGCUUCUAUAAUGAAUAGCAUGAGUCAUUCUGCAGGAUGUUGAUCUUCCUUUUUUUACUCCUAGACUGAAUUUUUCCACCACCUGGAUGAACAUAGCAGAAAGAACAUAGUGUUUUAGAGUCAGACACAAUAGGAAUCAGGCACUUUGGAAUCUUGGCUCUACCACCUUUGAGCUAUGUAUCCCAAGGCAAGUCACUUCCCCUCUCUCAGCUUUAAAAUAGUAAUAGGAUUGCUGUAGGGAUUAAAGUAAAUCAACAUAUGUAAAGUGCCCACACAGGACCUGGCAUAUAGUAGUUGCAUUUUAAAUUUUUUAAACAAAAUGUAAGCAUACUAUCUUUCCAGGGUGUUCAGAAGCCUGAAAAACACCUUGGAUCUUUUCUCAGAGCUGGAUCACAAAGAUGUCACACUGUCUCCUGUUCUGACACACUGAGUGGUUCCUCAUGGCUGGAGCCUGGGGCGUGUGGUCAGGUGUUUGUUGAGAAAGGAGUCGCUUGAUCAGGUGUUUGUUGAGAAAGGAGUCACUGGGAAAUCCCAAAUAUUAUCUGAUUGAACUCAUGUGGUGCCAAGAUCUGGGGGAAUUUCACAGAAAACACAUUUCUGUUUCUAAGCUGUAUUAGUUUUCUGAGGCUGCCAUAACACAUUAUCACAAUUCUUGCUUGAGCCCAAGAAUUUGGGACCAGCCUGGGCAACAUGGCAAAACCUUGUCUCUACAAAAAUACAAAAAUUAGCCCAGCAUGUCGUUUUCACCUAUAGUCCCAGCUACUGAGGAGGCUGAGGUGGGAGGAUUACCUGAGCCUGGGGAGGUUGAGGCUGCAGUGAGUCAAGAUCAUGCCACUGUACUCCAGCUUGGGCAACAGACUGAGACCCCAUAUCAAAAACAAACGAAGAGUGAUCAUCCAGUUACUCACUGCUGGGUCUGAGGGAAGCCCAAAGGCAGUGGGAGCCAGAGAAAAUAGUUGAGAGUCAGAUUUCACAGUGGAGGUGACAUUGAAACAGGGUAUUGAAGGGCCAAUAAGAGUUCACCAAGUCAGGAGAGAGGGAGGAAAGGACAUUCCAGCAGAGAGCAGGAUCUAUUCUUUCCACAAGCCUUUACUGAGGUUCACCUUUGCACAGGCUAGCUACUGGGUUCUGGAAAUGCAGAGCUCAAGUAAACAACCCUUCUCCCACUUUUCCCAAAUGCCGAAAACAUUAGGAGAACUAGGACUCUCAUCCCUAGGGGCAUUGGGAAGAACUCAAAAGCCUGCUGCUUGCAAAGUAUUCAAGAUGAUGUAAAGCAUUUAACACACUGUCUGGGAGAUAGUACAUUUUUAAUAAAUACUAGCUGUCAUUAUUUUCAUAUGUCCUAUUUCAUUCUAAAAACUUUUCUUUCUUGUUUUUGAGACAGAGUCUCUCUCUGUGACUCAGGCUGGAGUGCAGUGGUGCGAUCUCAGCUCACUGCUACCUCUGCCUCCCAGGUUCAAGUGAUUCUCCUGCCUCAGCCUCCCAAGUAGCUGGGACUACAGGCAUGCACCACCACACCCAGCUAAGUUUUUUUGUAUUUUUAGUAGAGACAGGAUUUCACCAUGUUGGUCAGGGUGGUCUUGAACUCCUGACCUCAAAUGAUCCACCCACCUCAGCCUCCCAAAGUGCUGGGAUUACAGGCAUGAGCCACCGCGCCCGGCCCUAAAAACUCUUUUAUUAUUGGGAUCCUAUUUCAUAAUAUGGCUGAUUGUUUCAACAUAAAAAUAUUUUAAAUCACAGAAUUAAAUUAUUAUAAUAUUUACAUAGUGCUAUAUAUCCCCCAGAGAAACAUAUAUCCAAGUUUAGAGAACAUAGAUUAUAAGGUGGCCAAAUGCAAUGUAUAUGCAAUGAUAGAAGGGGUCCAAGGUCAAGUGGUAAGAGUGACCAACUCUUCAGGAGCUGGUGGGCAAGGUCAGAGCAGGCUUCACCAAAGUUAUAAAGGAUGAUUGGGAGUUUAGUAGAUGAACAAUAGGUGUUUAGAUCUGUUUGGCUCGGGAAUAGCUAGUGUUUUAACAGCUAAUUAGUACCAUGUUGGGUAUUUAAAUCAAACAUUCAGUUUCCAGGGCCAAAAAGCUAAGCCUACCCCAAUCCAUUUGCCUCCACUUCCUCCUCCCACCUCAUGGGCCUGAUGCAUUGGGUAAACAAGAGCAAGAUAGGGCAGAUGGGUCUUUCAGUGUCUCAAACUGUAUUGAGUUAAAUCUAUCCCCUUCCUUUCAACAGAGCCCUCUUUCUUCCAUUCACUUACCUGUCUAGUCAAACACCCAUCAGACCUUUGCCAGGUGUCCAGCCUGGGCACUACGUUUCAGAAAAUGAUGCACAUAGAAUCCCUAACUGAAAGGAGAUCGCAGCUCAUUUGGUACAAAGUGCUUUUAGCCUGGGUAAGGAGCUGGAGAGAUGUGAAAAUGUGGAAAGCAAGCCUAAGUCGCAGUGUGGCCUAUGCCUGAGAGCCAUCUUCAGUGCCCCCUUGUGGCUGUAUCUGGGAACCACAGACAGAAUCAUGGAACUGACCAUCUUCAGUCUCAAAGUGCUGCCCUCACCACUACACCCAGGGGCAGGUGGUCUUCGGGGGAAAGGCGGUUCCAGUUCCUUCUCCCAAGCCAGUGAGGAAGUCAAUCCUGCGAACAACUGCAGGAACGGCCUUGGGAGUGGAUCCUUCCUCAGCCCGGCUCCAAGACAACUGCAGCCCUGUGAGAAACCCUGAGUGGAGGACCAAGCCAAGCCUCAAAUCGUGACUUGGAACUGGGAGACAACAGAUGCUGUUGGAAGCCACUGAGCUCUGAAGUAGUUUGUUACACAGUGACAGAAUCUAGGAUCUGGGGAAGGUAAACUGAGGCCACCAGUAAGCAUGUGCUCCAGGCCAAGGCUGAGUCUGUGCUGCAUCCAUGUCAUCAGCCACCCAAGAAAAACCAGUUACUCCACCUAGCUCAUGGUGGCGGCAUCCUCCCUGCAAUGGUGCAUGGGGGGCAGUCCUUUCCCCUGCAGGGUGUCAUUGCCACCCCCAUCCUCAUCCUGGAGGCCAGUCCAGGCUCCGAUAUGAGUGACUAGGGGUGAGGUAGGGGUGGCAGAAGGGAGAUCAAACUGGAGCAUUCCAGAUGCCUACUACUGCCCUCACACAACGGGGCAACUGUGCUCUCCAACUCCUCCCCUUGGCAGAGAAACUGGUCCUGCAGUUUCAGGACUAGACGAGCGUGGGGUAGUGGCAAUAAAGGGGCUUGUAUGAGAAGUG